AUCUAGCCCCGAUUGCAAUGUAAAUCCCGCAGCUGUCUGGCACGGCCAGACGCGAGGAAUUGCAAUGUAAAGCGGGAUACUAC
rnacentral:sRNA from 2 species